UUCAUUCUUUCUUUUUGUUGGGCCCAGUAUUCUUACUUCAGAGGGCUAACUGUAGGUUGUAAGCGCCACAGGAAUAUGUAUGAACCUGAGCUCGGAUCAAUUCACGAUGUGAAGCAUGGGCGCCUAACAGACUGGCCUUGGCAUCAAUAAUAUAAUAGCAAGAACAAGGAUCAAUACAUCGCGUGCUCUUGGAUACAUUCGAGUACAUUAGAAACUGCUAGACUGGAAGGCGAAAAUUAGCUACGCGUAUUCCAUUAUACACCGCAUUGGGCCUAUAUUACGACUGUUAUGGAACAGCUCUAACUCACGUGCUUCUCAGUUUAUCAAGGUGGUGGUACAGAAAUAAGGAUCAGACUGAUGACAGGUUCAGCGUUUCGGAGGAAGCUGCUGAUUUCCUCUUCGGGAUGGAGUUCUAUUCUGAAGAGGAAACUUCUGUGGAACGAGAGUAACUAUCUUCCAAACGACACAGUGUCAUGUGUCAGAAGAACUUAAGCUCAAUACCGAUGAAGAAAUCCUUAACAGGCUUAUGGAAGUGAUAGAGGUGUAAGCUAUACCAGAGAAAAUUGGUGACAUUUUAUUAAACAUUUUACCAAG